rnacentral:rRNA from 1 species
UACGUAGGGUGCGAGCGUUAAUCGGAAUUACUGGGCGUAAAGCGUGCGUAGGCGGUACGUUAUGUCUGCUGUGAAAGCCCCGGGCUCAACCUGGGAAUGGCAGUGGAAACUGGCGUGCUGGAGUGUGGCAGAGGGGGGUGGAAUUCCACGUGUAGCAGUGAAAUGCGUAGAGAUGUGGAGGAACACCGAUGGCGAAGGCAGCCCCCUGGGCUGACACUGACGCUCAGGCACGAAAGCGUGGGGAGCAAACAGG